AGGGAUCAUUACUGAGUGAGGGCUCACGCCCGACCUCCAACCCUUUGUGAACACAUCUUGUUGCUUCGGGGGCGACCCUGCCGGCACUACGUCGCCGGGCGCCCCCGAAGGUCUCCAAACACUGCAUCUUUGCGUCGGAGUUUAAAACAAAAUUAAACAAAACUUUCAACAACGGAUCUCUUGGUUCUGGCAUCGAUGAAGAACGCAGCGAAAUGCGAUAAGUAAUGUGAAUUGCAGAAUUCAGUGAAUCAUCGAAUCUUUGAACGCACAUUGCGCCCUUUGGUAUUCCGAAGGGCAUGCCUGUUCGAGCGUCAUUUCACCACUCAAGCCUGGCUUGGUAUUGGGCGUCGCGGCUCCGCGCGCCUUAAAGUCUCCGGCUGAGCCAUUCGUCUCUAAGCGUUGUGGAUUUUCUAAUUCGCUUCGGAGUGCGGGUGGCCGCGGCCGUUAAAUCUUUAUUCAAAGGUUGACCUCGGAUCAGGUAGGGAUA
rnacentral:rRNA from 1 species